CCACCUCAACCAUGGGUAUCCUGGCACAUGGCCCUGGUGCCUCUCAGAUGUUGUUUUCACCAGGUCACCAGCAUAGAUCCUUGAAGUCAGGGCCCAGGAUUGCAUUCACCAUGGAGCUGGACCUGCUGUGGUGCUGUGGGGGCAGCUCAGACUCUGGCCUGGCCCUGCCCCCUAGUGUGGGAGCCCAGGAAGUCUACAGCUGCUACAGCUACACCUGCUGUGACUGGGGGAGCCGUCCUUGUCCACUCAGACGUUCUAAAGACCCUGGGGCUCAGCAGUGCUUCAGCCCGCUCUGGGCAUGUGGAUAAACUACAGGCCGCUGCUCCCGAGGUUUCCCAGAGUCCACCAUCUACCCUGGUAGUGAGGGGCGCAGAGGAAGAGGCAACAGCUGGGUUCAUGAGAGCACCCACCCUAAUGGAGCCCUUCCUCAUGCCUGCUAUACCUCCUCAAGACACCCAGGAUUUGAUGCCAAAGAAACCAAGGGUAUAAGAUUUGUUCCCAAAAGCAAACCUAGGAAUAUAUGAAAGAUUUCACCUCAGAAACUUGCAAUUAAUGAAAGACUCAGAACAUACAAGGGCGUGUGAAAGACAGAGAGGAUGUUUACAUAGACAUAAAGAAAUUGAGACAGUUACACAUAAUGCAGACAUUACUGUAGAAAGAAAUGAGCUACUUGAGUCAAAUUGGGGGAAACACUCAUUUCAGUCUUCAACAUCUGCUGAGAAGUGUACGUUUUUCAGAAAAAGUUUACAUUGUUUUUUGAAACAUACUUGUUCUCUGAAAGGAAAUGUGGAAAAUCUGGAAGGUCCUCCAGUCUCUACUGUACAUACUCCUUCCAACCACUCUGAGCAUAGGCUUCGAUUCAACA